rnacentral:rRNA from 1 species
CCUACGGGUGGCAGCAGUGAGGAAUAUUGGUCAAUGGACGAGAGUCUGAAGCAGCCAAGUAGCGUGAAGGAUGACUGCCCUAUGGGUUGUAAACCUCUUUUGCCGGGGAGCAACGGGCGUCACGUGUGGCGCCACUGAGAGUACCCGGAGAAAAAGCAUCGGCUAACUCCGUGCCAGCAGCCGCGGUAAUACGGAGGAUGCGAGCGUUAUCCGGAUUUAUUGGGUUUAAAGGGUGCGUAGGCGGAUCGUUAAGUCAGUGGUCAAAUGGAGGGGCUCAACCCCUUCCCGCCAUUGAAACUGGCGUUCUUGAGUGGAAGAGAAGUAUGCGGAAUGCGUGGUGUAGCGGUGAAAUGCAUAGAUAUCACGCAGAACCCCGAUUGCGAAGGCAGCAUGCCGGCUUCCGACUGACGCUGAAGCACGAAAGCGUGGGGAUCGAACAGGAUUAGAUACCCGGGUAGUC